AGAGUUUGAUCCUGGCUCAGGAUGAACGCUAGCUACAGGCUUAACACAUGCAAGUCGAGGGGAAACGACAUCGAAAGCUUGCUUUUGAUGGGAACGUCGACCGGCGCACGGGUGAGUAACGCGUAUCCAACCUGCCCACCACUUGGGGAUGACCUUGCGAAAGUAAGACUAAUACCCAAUGAUAUCUCUAGAAGACAUCUGAAAGAGAUUAAAGAUUUAUCGGUGAUGGAUGGGGAUGCGUCUGAUCAGCUUGUUGGCGGGGUAACGGCCCACCAAGGCAACGAUCAGUAGGGGUUCUGAGAGGAAGGUCCCCCACAUUGGAACUGAGACACGGUCCAAACUCCUACGGGAGGCAGCA
rnacentral:rRNA from 1 species